rnacentral:rRNA from 1 species
UUAAACUGGAGAGUUUGAUCCUGGCUCAGAACGAACGCUGGCGGCGUGCUUAACACAUGCAAGUCGAACGCGAAAGGGACUUCGGUC